UUUGCCCUUGUGAUACCGAAAAAAUAACCCCCUGUCCACGAAAUUCAUGUUAAUAAAGUACGACGUUCGUGCUCGGAAAAAGACUUGCGCUCCCCGCCCCUCCCUCGGGAAAUUGACCGUUUGGCGCGACCCGAGGGGAAGGCACGUGCCAGACGCAUUCGUUGUUUUUUUUUUCUCCGGGAAGGCGCAAACGAACAUCGAUAUGUUGAAAUAACGAUAACGGACCCUACAUAAACGAUCAUCGGUGUCGAGACGAUGAAAUAUCGCGUCCAUAUCGCGCGUUACGUCCGUUUCCCUCACCCACCCAAACCUCUCAAAAUGUUCAGUCGAAAAGUGUUCGCCGGCCGUAACGCUCGUGUCGCUUGUCAUACAAAUACGAUUGUUUUUUAUUUACCGUCGGUCAUUCCGCUGUAUUUAUCGCUAUAGAAAAGCGUUGCCGGAUUGAUUUACAUCGCGGCAUGGUUCGGAAUGAAUCGGUGGGAGCGGGGCCUGGGAGGGGACCGAGAAAUAUAAGAGAACGCGUAGUCGCGGACGGUACGGUCGCGCGAAAUCUAUCGAAUUUCCUUGCGGACGACUGACGCGCGGUAAAAGCGAGAAGAUAGGGCGGCGAUUUUAAAUCCGCUCCGGGCGACCGCGAAAACUAUACGGAAGAUUUUCGUCCGGUUAUUCCAUCGGAAA